AGGGUUCGAUCAUGGCUCAGAACGAACGCUGGCGGCAGGCCUAAUACAUGCAAGUCGAGCGCCCUCUUCGGAGGGAGCGGCGGACGGGUUAGUAACGCGUGGGAAUAUGCCCUUCUCUACGGAAUAGCCUCGGGAAACUGAGAUUAAUACCGUAUACGCCCUUCGGGGGAAAGAUUUAUCGGAGAAGGAUUAGCCCGCGUAAGAUUAGAUAGUUGGUGGGGUAACGGCCUACCAAGUCGACGAUCUUUAGCUGGUUUGAGAGGAUGAUCAGCAACACUGGGACUGAGACACGGCCCAGACUCCUACGGGAGGCAGCAGUAGGGAAUCUUAGACAAUGGGCGCAAGCCUGAUCUAGCCAUGCCGCGUGAGUGAAGAAGGCCCUAGGGUCGUAAAACUCUUUCGCCAGAGAUGAUAAUGACAGUAUCUGGUAAAGAAACCCCGGCUAACUCCGUGCCAGCAGCCGCGGUAAUACGGAGGGGGUUAGCGUUGUUCGGAAUUACUGGGCGUAAAGCGUACGUAGGCGGAUUAGUAAGUUAGGGGUGAAAUCCCAGGGCUCAACCCUGGAACUGCCUCUAAAACUGCUAGUCUUGAGUUCGAGAGAGGUGAGUGGAAUUCCAAGUGUAGAGGUGAAAUUCGUAGAUAUUUGGAGGAACACCAGUGGCGAAGGCGGCUCACUGGCUCGAUACUGACGCUGAGGUACGAAAGUGUGGGGAGCAAACAGGAUUAGAUACCCUGGUAGUCCACACCGUAAACGAUGAAUGCCAGACGUCAGCAAGUAUACUUGUUGGUGUCACACCUAACGGAUUAAGCAUUCCGCCUGGGGAGUACGGUCGCAAGAUUAAAACUCAAGGAAUUGACGG
rnacentral:rRNA from 1 species